GACGAACGCUGGCGGCGCGCUUAAUACAUGCAAGUCGAACGAGAAGGUGUAGCAAUACACUUGUAAAGUGGCGAACGGGUGAGGAAUACAUGGGUAACCUACCCUCGAGUGGGGAACAACCAGCCGAAAGGUUGGCUAAUACCGCGUACGCUUCCGGGUCUUCGGAUUCGGAAGGAAAGUCAUACCGUGGGUAUGACGCUCAAGGAUGGGCUCAUGUCCUAUCAGCUUGUUGGUGGGGUAACGGCCACCAAGGCUCCGACGGGUAGCUGGUCUGAGAGGACGAUCAGCCACACUGGCACUGCGACACGGGCCAGACUCCUACGGGAGGCAGCAGUAAGGAAUAUUGCGCAAUGGGCGAAAGCCUGACGCAGCGACGCCGCGUGGGGAUGAAGGUCUUCGGAUUGUAAACCCCUUUCAGGAGGGAAAAUGGAACGAGCAAUCGUUCGGAUGGUACCUCCAGAAGCAGCCACGGCUAACUUCGUGCC
rnacentral:rRNA from 1 species